UCGCCCUCCGCCGCCACCAAGCCGGUUUCCUCUUUCCGGCGCUCCGGGUGCGAGAAGCUGGUCGGACCGCCCAGCCUGCGAAGCGCUGUGCCGUCCCGGCGCCGGCCUGAGGACCCCGAAACUACCGUUCCCUCGCCGGGCAGCUUGGGCGCCAUGAACGGAGCGGGUAUUCCAGCAGGACUGAAUUCGGAGAAGGUAGCGGCUCUGCUUCAGAAACUGAAUUCCGACCCUCAAUUCGUACUGGCCCAGAAUGUCGGCACCACUCACGACCUGCUGGACAUCUGUCUGAAGAGGGCCACGGUCCAGGGUACUCAGCAUGUGUUCCAGCACGCCGUGCAUCAGGAAGGCAAGCCCGUCACCAACCAGAAGAGUUCAGGGCGAUGCUGGAUCUUUUCUUGUCUGAAUGUUAUGAGACUUCCAUUCAUGAGAAGAUUCAAUAUUGAAGAAUUUGAAUUUAGUCAGUCUUACCUCUUUUUCUGGGACAAGGUUGAACGCUGUUAUUUCUUCUUAAAUGCUUUUGUGGACACAGCUCAGAAAAAGGAGCCUGAGGAUGGUAGGCUGGUGCAGUAUUUGCUUAUGAAUCCUGCCAAUGAUGGAGGACAAUGGGAUAUGCUUGUCAAUAUUGUUGAAAAAUAUGGUGUUAUCCCUAAGAAGUGCUUCCCUGAAACUUACACAACAGAGGCAACCAGAAGGAUGAAUGAUAUUCUGAAUCACAAGAUGAGAGAAUUCUGCAUACGACUGCGGAACCUGGUACACAGUGGUGCAACCAAAGAAGAAAUCUCAGCCACACAAGACUCCAUGAUGGAGGAGAUAUUCAGAGUGGUGUGCAUCUGUUUGGGUAAUCCACCAGAGACAUUCACCUGGGAAUAUCGAGACAAAGAUAAAAACUAUCAAAAGAUUGGCCCUGUAACACCCUUGAAGUUUUACAGGCAACAUGUCAAGCCACUCUUCAAUAUGGAAGAUAAGAUUUGUUUAGUGAAUGACCCUCGGCCUCAGCACAAGUACAACAAACUUUACACAGUGGACUAUUUAAGCAAUAUGGUCGGAGGGAGAAAAACUCUGUAUAACAACCAGCCCGUUGACUUCUUGAAAAAGAUGGUUGCUGCCUCCAUCAAAGAUGGAGAGGCUGUAUGGUUUGGCUGUGAUGUUGGGAAACACUUCAAUGGCAAACUGGGCCUCAGUGACAUGAAUGUCUAUGACCAUGAGUUGGUGUUCGGUGUCUCCAUGAAGAACAUGAAUAAAGCUGAGAGGCUGACUUUUGGCGAGUCACUUAUGACCCACGCCAUGACCUUCACUGCUGUCUCAGAAAAGGAUGAUCAGGAGGGUGGUUUCAUAAAAUGGAGAGUGGAAAAUUCUUGGGGUGAAGACCAUGGCCACAAAGUGACCACAGACAUCAAGAAUGAGGGUGAUCAGUUUUCCAAGAAGAGACUGAGGGGGGAAACCUCCCUCUAUGCAGAGGCCCCAGUUAUCUUGAAGUUCCUGGAGGGGAAGAAGAGCUAAAGACAGGUUCCCCAACCAGGAAUUGAAUCUGUGCCCCUUGCAUUGGAAGCGCAGUCUUAACCUCUGGACCACCAGGAAAGUCCUUUUCUCUCUCUCUUUUUUUUUAACUUUUACAAAUUUUUUAAAAUGAAGCUUUUCUGGAAAAGUUGUAGAAAAGUAUUACCAACAUGACAAAUAUUUAAGUAGUAUGAAAGGUAAUACCGUGAAAAAGCAGGGUUCCCUCCUACCCUUAAUAUCCUUUCCCUCCAAAGCACUUAGGAUUCCCAGUUUCUUCCACAUGCUUACAGCGAUUGCAAUACACAGAGAAAACCGCCUCACUCCUUUCACUGCUGGGCACUUCUCCAGUGUCAGAUAUUCCAUGAUUUACUCACCAGUCCCAAAAGUGCUGCUUCUUACACACUUUAAGUCGGCUAAGAGUAGAAGGCAUCUCCCUAGCCGUCCAUUGCCAACACUUGUGUGUGGGGCGUGCUGUGUGCUGACGCAGGGAUGGGUGUUAAGAUCUGGAGAGAGGCAGAGCCCCUUCCCUUGGGAACUCAGAGCCCAGUGGAGGAGGUGGGCAUUUAGGAAAGGUCUGAGGGCUCUCACGGGUCUGUGCGGCUGGGGUGGGGGUGGGGUGGCCUGGUACUUGCUCUUCUGGCUUCAACUUCUCUGCCAAGAUGGAAGGUAAACACAGCUGCCUUCCAGACCGUGGCACCGGCGAAAGUGUUUAUAGUCAGGGGAGGGGAUCCCGCAGGAAGGAAGUAAAACCAGAAACCUCGACCCAAAGAUAUCAUAGAGCAUAUGGUCGUCAUGACACCUGUCAAAUCUGGGGAAACAGGGUCUUGUCCAGCAGAGGUAGUAGGCUCAUAAGGAAUGGGAGACCUGGGGCCAGGAAAAAGUGACCAAGGACACACAUCACCUACUUGCAAACGUUGUCUGCCUUCCUCGGGGCAUUCCUCUCCCACACCGCCUGCACAUCCCACCCCUGGCAUUCCUGAAGGGCUUUCCCUCCCCUCCCCUUGGCCUUGCUUCACCUGAUCAGAGACAGCCUCCCCCGGGGGGCUUCUAGGUAGAACCCUAUGGGGACGAGCCCAGGGCUCACAGUGACAGCAAAUCCUGCUCUGGAGGUGCUGUCCCUGUGCAUGGUUGACCAUUGACCCUGUCACCUAAAUUACGCCAUGUCCCAGGAAAAAUAAGCGGGGGUGCUGGGAGGGAGUCCGGACACUGGAGAGAGCCAGGGCAGGUGUGGCACGAGCAUGGGGAGCAAGACAGGGAAGGCUGUGCAUUAGGAAAGCGCGAGUCUGGAUUUGUUGAGGCGAAAGUGGGGCAGCGGAGGCCACCUGGUCUCUGUGGGACGACACCCACGGGGAGGAGAAGAGAAAGCACCUGUGUAGAGAGUAGAUGGCCCGUCUGCAACAACUUUUCAUGGACUCUUCCAGGGAGGCCGUGAGGAACAAGGGAGAGGUCGCGUCUGUGUAAUCCCAGCGGCUCCUUGGCCAGAGACUACAAGGGGAGAAGACUGGCCCAGGCGGUCCAGCAGAGGAGAGAGGGAAGAAGUAGGCGCGUCAGCCCUUGCCCUCCCAUCUCAGCCUCAGGGACAUCCAGAGCAAGCACUGCAUCUGUUCUUUUCAAAUGUAAAAAAUAAUUUUACUGAAAAGAUAAUUUAACAUUACGUUUAUUUUUAAACUUAAAGUUUUUAAAGUUAUUAAAGUAAUAUAUUGACAUGAUUCAACA